UCAGAUGAUUUUUUAAAUUCACAAAUUACUAAAUCUAAAUCAAAAAGAAGAGAUCAAUCAGAAAAGAAAAAAUAUACAAAUGGCCAGCAGCGUAAACAGUGUUGUGUUCGUUGUUUUUUUGAUGAUCUUAUUGAUUUCUACAGAAAUACAAAAUGGACAUGCUCAAAGGCGGGAUAUAUAUUGUGAGAAAGUACGAAGCAAGAGGGCUCCACCUGACACUUGUAAUAAAAAAGAUGCUGAUGCAUUGUGCAAAAACACUUGUUGGACGAAAGAAACUUAUAUUGAAGGAAAAUGUCUACUACUUCCAAAGACUACAAAAAAAGCUUGCUACUGCUGGCAAUUCAAUUGUUAAUAAAAACCCUAAUUUGAUUAUGGUAUAAAACUAAUUCGCUUGUGUUCAAAAUAAUAAUAUGAGAAAUUUUGUCCUAUAUUCAUAGUAGGACUUAAAUUGAUUGUAUACCUAUAAUAAAUAAAGUGCUAUAAUGUUUGUGUAAUAAUUGAUGUAUUAUCCUUGACAUGAACACAUUUAUUUUUACGUGUGAACAAUUUUUUUUUCUUUUUACAAUUAUGAUUUCUCCAUCAAUUUUUAAUUGGUUUCAGUUCCUAUUAAAACAAUUAUGAUUUCUCCAUCUAUAGGUUUAAAACUUUCAAAACAAACAUAUAUUUUAUAAAUUUUAUACUCCCUCUGUUUCAAAAUACAUGAAGUUUUAAUAUUGUGCAUAACUAUUAAAAAAAUUGUUUUUUAUCUUAAAAAUAUCAUUAAAAUAUAAAUUAA